GACGAACGCUGGCGGCGUGCCUAACACAUGCAAGUCGAACGGAGAGGUUAUGAACAAGGCUUCGGCCAAGUGAGUAAUUUUCUUAGUGGCGGACGGGUGAGUAACGCGUGAGCAAUCUGCCUUUCAGAGGGGGAUAACGUUCUGAAAAGAACGCUAAUACCGCAUAACGUAUCAUGUUGGCAUCAACGAGAUACCAAAGGAGUAAUCCGCUGAGAGAUGAGCUCGCGUCUGAUUAGAUAGUUGGUGAGGUAACGGCUCACCAAGUCGACGAUCAGUAGCCGGACUGAGAGGUUGAACGGCCACAUUGGAACUGAGAACGGUCCAGACUCCUACGGGAGGCAGCAGUGGGGAAUAUUGGGCAAUGGACGAAAGUCUGACCCAGCGACGCCGCGUGAGGGAUGAAGAUCUUCGGAUUGUAAAGCACUUUCGGAGGGAGGAAAGAUGACGUUACCCGAGGAGGAAGCCACGGCUAACUACGUGCCAGCAG
rnacentral:rRNA from 1 species